rnacentral:lncRNA from 1 species
AAUAUUUCUUAAUGUCAAAUGGAGAUGAAAUUGAAAGUAACCACUAGAUGGCGCUUGAAAAUUGAGUAUUGAGUUAUGCUAUCUGCUCUCAAAAUCAUUACGAAUUUUGAUAGAUUUUACAUCAAUCUGCACAGCUCUAAGAAAAGGUGGUGUUUCCAAAAACAGAGUUAAAUUAAACUGCUGUACUAAGGAAUCUAGUCUACUUUAAAAGCUCAUUCCUGAUGCAGAAGUGCAGCCUAGAAAGAAGAAGAGUAUUUGUAAAACUGAAAAAUAUGUACAGAUUUGUUUUCCACUUAUUUUUGUUUGUAUCCAACUUAAUAGCUCAGUUCUGUCCUGACAUUGUGUUUACCUUCUCAAACUCUGUCUAAAUUGAGAUAUUUGGUCAAAAUACGUUGUAUGUGCUGUUGGUUUAACAUUUCUUUUAAUAUUAUUUUAGAUCACUAGCUAGAAUAUUAACCUGGAAUUCAGUGGGGGAUAAGGGUUCAGAAAGGGAUCCAACUCUAAGAGCGCAUAGUUUUUCCCUUUAUUCAUUUUAUGUCUUGGCAAGAGAAGCGAUUGUGACAAUGUGAUUGUGCAGAAAAUAAGAUGGUAGCUAGGAAUUUAUUUGCCAAGUCAAACUUAUGGCAUUUCUGUCAGUGGUCAUUACAGACUCCCGUUUUAUUUGAAAACUCCAUGUAGCCUCUUUGGUUCUGAGAUGCAUGAGGUACAUUAUUAUGAUAUAUUAUUAUGAUGUAUUAGCUACUAAUACUGGAAGACAAGCAAAUCUGACUAAGUACUUUCUGCAGUCGUUUGUCUUGAUUCUUCUGCCAUAGGAGUGGUGGGUGGGUGGUAGCUGUUCCAGGGGGUUCUUUGGACAGCCAUCUUAAUCUCUUGUCUUUGAGUUGAAGAAAGCAGAAGUAGAUAUGCUGCAAUGCUCAGUUGUGCAAGGAUGUUUUAUGGCCUAUUAAAUAUGUAUUAAGGGACUAAUUCUUCCAUUUGCUUACACAGCUGUAUUUGGUUCCCCUGACACUGGUAGCAAUUAUGAUUGAAUUUUGUUAUGAAAGCGUUACGCACAUGGUAAACCUUAGAAUGGAUUACAGUGGCGAUGGACACAAGCCACGUUGUCUGCUUUUUGUGUAAGAUGCUAGGACACAAUCAACAAGAAGUGAAAAGGAGAGUCAAACAAUUUUCCCAUUCAGCUCUUCUCAGCCUGCAAUGUCUACAGCAGUAACAUCUCAUUUGUGCUGUUUUCUGCCGUGCAAAAGGAUUUGGUUGUACUACUGCCAUGACUGGACCUUAAAGAAACUUGUAUGCCUGAUAACCAAAGAUGAAAAUAAAGCUUUCAGAUUGGCAAUAAAAAAAAAAGGCUUUUUAUAAACCCAUUUGCCAGCCUAAAAAGGCUCCGAACAAAAUGCUAAGCCAUCCCUCUUGUUAAGACAAAUUUCAAUUUGACUUUACUUUCUUAGCCCCUUAGUGAGGAACCUCCUGCUGAGCUGAAGAUACCCUCACGUGAAUUUGAUGAUGAGAGUACACAUGUACCAAAGUUCAUUAGGUGUUUCCUGUGGUCAUUUUACCUGUGAUCUCACUGGUUGCAAAGCUCUUUAGACUGAGAUAAUAUGUUUAGUGAUUUGCAAAAUCCUAAUGAUUCGGUUAACAAAUCACAAAGGUUUUGAUUUUAGCAUAAUACUAAAAUAAUGCUAAAAUAAUGGCAAAGCACAGGAAUGGCAGCUCUCUCUCUCCUCUUUAAACAGUCAGAAGUAGUCUUGAUCAUGCAGGAGCACCAGAAGGAUUUUUGGGAGUGUGUAUUUCAAUGGUAGCUCAAUUCUGGCUGCAUGCUUUCAUUGCUGUUGAACAACACUGCUGUCUUCUGAAUUUUCUCUCCUGCUUUCCAAGAAGUGUUUUUUGGAUUACGCUGUUGCUAUGGUCUAUGCUGCUCUACAGACAGGCACUCUCUCUUAGAGGAGGUGGUUGCGUUUUGCAGUCUCUCCAUGUCCCUGGAGGAAAAGCGUGUUCCUGAUAAAUGGUGCUGGCGUCAGCAGAGGGCUUUUGUAGCUCUCGUUGUUGUUAUCCCCUCCUCUGUGGGAGGAAGCAUCGCAAAGCACGUUGGGCUCUGCCAUGUCUUACGCUUUUAUUCUGCUCACCUGCCAGGAUUUGUUGGCUGUCUGUCCUGUUGUGGCAGGGAAAAAAAGGGAGCAGAAAGAAAUACUGCUUUGAAGAAAAUAGGUGCUAAAUCCCUCUGCCCUGAGGGAUUGCUUCUCACUUACUUUGGAUUAGUAGCCCAGGCAUGCUGGUGUUAGGGUAGCUGCCCUACGAUAGGUGUGUAGGAGGCAUGAUGCUUCUUGACUUGCUUGCCCAAGGCAGCUCCUGCUGGGGAGGGCCCCUCUGGGCCCUGUCCCUGCAGCUUGUCACACAGAGAUGCUGACCAGCCGGUGGGGGAGGCCACCUUAACAUGUUCCUGGAGUAGGCCUAGCUGCGGCCUGCGGCUAUGGAUGUUUUGUUACUUCUGCCUCUGCAGCUGCUGAAGGCUGAAAUGAAUCCUGUAAUGAUAAACAAUAAAUGAUAAUGAUAUGUUUGUUGAGAUGCUGUCUUCAGACAACAAGUGGCUGUGGGACGAAGCCAUGCAGCCUGGAAAGAGACACUGACACAAAAAGGAGGGUGCAGUUAGGCUGGUUUUUCAAGAGGUUUAAAUGUUGUACUUCUGGGGGUUUCUGUUUGGAGGCACUAAUGCUGUUUGAGUAAGAAUGUUAGCAAUUUACACUGCCAAACCCUCUGGUGCAACAUGGCUUCCCCUGUUCAGCACAGCAGCACUUUGCGGCACUGGGAGGGGGAGCAGCGCCCCUCUCUGCCACCUCAGUGUGCCGUGUCCUAAGGACAGGGGCAUGGAAAUCAUUAGAUUGGCUUGGACUUUUUCUUUUUUCAUCACGUGUACCUGUCAGCAGUGGGGAGUUGUGUGUUUAAGAACAUGGACCGUAAGGGUGAGCUUUCCAUCUCCCCCCUCCCCCACCUGUGCAGUUGGGGGGGCUCGGAAUUCUGUGGAGCCGAGGCAAAUUUGAAAGUAAACAGCUGCAUCUCAACUGCAUCCUUGCCCUCGCUGGUGGUGUUCUCCUCCAUCCACAGCUUCGUCUUCCCCUGUGCUCAGCUUUGUCUCUCUACCAGAGUGCUGAGAGCACCUCGAGCCCCCCACCAGCUGCCUCAGCCGGCGGCUGCACCUCCUGGGAGCCUGCUUGUGCCUGCUUCCCUGUAGCAGGUAUUCAUUGUGACUUCUGUGGGUGGCUGUGGGGUGUUUGGUUGUGUGUGGAAGUGGUGGUAUUUCUUCUGGACAGGAACCGUGCAGCCUAACCAGAGCAAACAUGGGGGUGGGUGGUUUGCCACGCGAUCGCUGAGGCUUUUGUAAAGAGCCAUAUCCAAAAUGCAGCAAGACCCAUGCACACUGCCUCAGUGAGGCUAUUUGAAAGGUUGUUCUCCACCACGUGAUCAUUUUACUAUUUGCUUUUUAAAUGUGUAAUUGGUGUUUGAACUCCUGUCUGUUUUCAAAGGUUAUAUUUAGGGUAAAAUGAGGCAGAAAAUAAGCGUUUUUGACCAUUCCCAAACCAUCUGUCACUUCAUAAAGGUUGCUUUUCUAGGUUCAGAUGUUGAUUGUGUUGGUUCAGCAAUUGGUACCUUCCAGCAGUGACGGUUGUAAGGUAACUGCUGAUAGUGCUUACCUAAUGAGUGGCAGUUACCUGGUGUUCAGACUGGAGAAAAAACAUCUAAUUACUAAGCUUUAAGCAGGGUGUUGUCUGAAAUAGCCAUUUGCCAUAAUAGGAUGCAGUCAGCUGCUUGUUCUUCAUAAGGAAAGCUUAACGGUUUAUGUCUGUGUCAGAGUUUUGUUUUUUAAUUUCCUAGUCAGUUCACUCAUACAUACAUAGUAGCAGUAGCAUCUGGCUCCUAGGUGUUUGCCUUUAAUGAGGAUGUUCCUGAUGAACUUCUUAGAAAGCAAAAUAUUACCUUAUUGUAUUUUUUUUUCUAAUUGUCUUCUAUAAAUGAAGAGGAGGGAAAAAAAAAAGAGAAGUAGAAAGAAGAGGGGGGAAAAGAACCCACCAAACCUAAAUAUCAGUAUUUAAAAUCAGCUGUCAUAUAGUGAUAUAUGUAGUCAUAUAGACUUUUCAGUAGAUUAUGUAUCUCCUGUCAUCUUUUGAAGCCUUUCCUUUUCUUAUGUUACACUUAAACCACAUGGAGAGAUUCAUGUUCAUGUUAAUGCCUUUUAAAAACCAGUUACUUGAAGUGGUAACAUAAGCACAUUCAAUACUCCUGGCACAGUACACAUAAACAUUCCCAUGUAUUAAGUAAAAGCAUUAUGAAGUUUUGUUCUUCCAUCCUGCAUUUUUGCUAUCUGCUUGUGGCUUUGGUUUGAAAGCAGAUUUGGGUUACAGUCAGCACUUCAGAUGCCCUUAUUUCCAUUCCGACUGUCAACUCUGAAGAAUUAACAAUGACAGUAUUAACCAAAAGCAAAACUAAAUGAUGUCCAUGUAAAAAGGCAAGUGAACAGUAGUAACAGAUCCUGUUAUUAUUUUUUUUUUUAAUUUAAUCAUCUUGAUAGCAUAGGAAUAGCUGAUGUUCUUGGGCUUGGGUUUAAGGGUUUAAAUUCUUGUUUUUGAGGUAAAAAAAGGAAGCAACUCAGAGCUUAGUUUAAGAGAAUAAGGAAUAGUUUAAAUUCUUAACAAAAUGAAAGUGUGUCUUUAAAAAUUAAGGAAGACUUGUUGCUGACUUGUUGCUGUGUUGCAUGUGGUGACAGCCUAUCCCAAAUGUCUGCCAGCUAACAGAACUCCACUGAGUCUCAGCAUGUCCCCUAUUAAGCCAUCUCAUCUCUGAAAGUAAUAAAGCUCAUUAAUGGCUUUCUGCUGUGAAACAAUAAACAAUAUAUUCACACACUGGUCAAUAAUUAGUGCCAACUAGCUUUUGUCCUUCAUUACAGAAGUAUUCCGACUCAAUUAUUCUAGAACUAAAAGAAACUUAUUUAAAAAAAAAUCCUUUUGUAUUCACAUAGGUGUAUUUUUUUUUUACAAUGCAGCAGCCUCCUUUUGUAUGGGAAUUCAAAUGCCUCUUCAGCCCACUAAACUUGAGAACGUGACUUCAUUGCCUAGUCUCCUGCUUCUUUGUUGAAACAGCUCAUUUCAGUGACUCCAUAGCCCCCAAGACUAUGAUGCAUUAGUAUCAUAGUUGUUCUCUUGUCGCUUUUGGUUUUAUGAAGUUGCUCUGUUUUUUUUAAAGUAGUGAGAAUUUUGAUGGUGUGAAGCAGCAGACUUACAUACGGAUGCAUAAUAAACAUCAGAAAAAGAUGAGCAAUCAUUCUUCUCGCUUCUCUCUCU